GGAGCUUGCUCCUUGAUUCAGCGGCGGACGGGUGAGUAAUGCCUAGGAAUCUGCCUGGUAGUGGGGGACAACGUUUCGAAAGGAACGCUAAUACCGCAUACGUCCUACGGGAGAAAGCAGGGGACCUUCGGGCCUUGCGCUAUCAGAUGAGCCUAGGUCGGAUUAGCUAGUUGGUGGGGUAAUGGCUCACCAAGGCGACGAUCCGUAACUGGUCUGAGAGGAUGAUCAGUCACACUGGAACUGAGACACGGUCCAGACUCCUACGGGAGGCAGCAGUGGGGAAUAUUGGACAAUGGGCGAAAGCCUGAUCCAGCCAUGCCGCGUGUGUGAAGAAGGUCUUCGGAUUGUAAAGCACUUUAAGUUGGGAGGAAGGGCAGUAAGUUAAUACCUUGCUGUUUUGACGUUACCGACAGAAUAAGCACCGGCUAACUCUGUGCCAGCAGCCGCGGUAAUACAGAGGGUGCAAGCGUUAAUCGGAAUUACUGGGCGUAAAGCGCGCGUAGGUGGUUUGUUAAGUUGGAUGUGAAAGCCCCGGGCUCAACCUGGGAACUGCAUCCAAAACUGGCAAGCUAGAGUACGGUAGAGGGUGGUGGAAUUUCCUGUGUAGCGGUGAAAUGCGUAGAUAUAGGAAGGAACACCAGUGGCGAAGGCGACCACCUGGACUGAUACUGACACUGAGGUGCGAAAGCGUGGGGAGCACACAGGAUUAGAUACCCUGGUAGUCCACGCCGUACACGAUGUCAACUAGCCGUUGGAAUCCUUGAGAUUAUAGUGGCGCAGCUAACGCAUUAAGUUGACCGCCUGGGGAGUACGGCCGCAAGGUUA
rnacentral:rRNA from 1 species